GUGCUCGCUUCGGCAGCACAUAUACUAAAAUUGGAACGAUACAAAGAAGAUUAGCAUGGUCCCUGCGCAAGGAUGACAUGCAAAUUCGUGAAGUGUUCCAUAUUUUU
rnacentral:snRNA from 1 species